CUACCCUAGACAUGGCAGGAAUCCAGCAGAGAUUAGUGAGUGCUCGCAAGAGAACCUGCACACAGGCGCUGCCUGGCUGUCGUCAGCUCGUGUCGUGAGAUGUUGGGUUAAGUCCCGCAACGAGCGCAACCCUUGUCAUUAGUUGCUACGAAAGGGCACUCUAAUGAGACUGCCGGUGACAAACCGGAGGAAGGUGGGGAUGACGUCAAGUCCUCAUGGCCCUUAUGGGUAGGGCUUCACACGUCAUACAAUGGUACAUACAGAGGGCCGCCAACCCGCGAGGGGGAGCUAAUCCCAGAAAGUGUAUCGUAGUCCGGAUUGUAGUCUGCAACUCGACUACAUGAAGUUGGAAUCGAAGGUAAUCGCGGAUCAGCAUGUCGCGGGANACUUUUAAAG
rnacentral:rRNA from 1 species